UGCCAGCCGCCGCGGUAAUACGAAGGGAACUAGCGUUGUUCGGAAUAACUGGGCGUAAAGGGCGCGUAGGUGGUUAUAUGAGUUAGACGUGAAAGCCCCAGGCUUAACCUGGGAAUAGCGUUUAAUACUGUAUAACUAGAGUUUGGUAGAGGAAAGUGGAAUUCCUAGUGUAGAGGUGAAAUUCGUAGAUAUUAGGAGGAACACCAGAGGCGAAGGCGGCUUUCUGGACCAAUACUGACGCUGAGGCGCGAAAGCGUGGGGAGCAAACAGGAUUAGAUA
rnacentral:rRNA from 1 species